rnacentral:rRNA from 1 species
AGUGAACGCUGGCGGUAGGCCUAAUACAUGCAAGUCGAACGGCAGCACAGUAAGAGCUUGCUCUUACGGGUGGCGAGUGGCGGACGGGUGAGGAAUACAUCGGAAUCUACUUUUUCGUGGGGGAUAACGUAGGGAAACUUACGCUAAUACCGCAUACGACCUACGGGUGAAAGCAGGGGAUCUUCGGACCUUGCGCGAUUGAAUGAGCCGAUGUCGGAUUAGCUAGUUGGCGGGGUAAAGGCUCACCAAGGCGACGAUCCGUAGCUGGUCUGAGAGGAUGAUCAGCCACACUGGAACUGAGACACGGUCCAGACUCCUACGGGAGGCAGCAGUGGGGAAUAUUGGCCAAUGGGCGCAAGCCUGAUCCAGCCAUACCGCGUGGGUGAAGAAGGCCUUCGGGUUGUAAAGCCCUUUUGUUGGGAAAGAAAAGCAGCAGAUUAAUACCCCGCUGUUCUGACGGUACCCAAAGAGUAAGCACCGGCUAACUACGUG